GCUUGCUCCCUGAUGUUAGCGGCGGACGGGUGAGUAACACGUGGGUAACCUGCCUGUAAGACUGGGAUAACUCCGGGAAACCGGGGCUAAUACCGGAUGGUUGUUUGAACCGCAUGGUUCAAACAUAAAAGGUGGCUUCGGCUACCACUUACAGAUGGACCCGCGGCGCAUUAGCUAGUUGGUGAGGUAACGGCUCACCAAGGCAACGAUGCGUAGCCGACCUGAGAGGGUGAUCGGCCACACUGGGACUGAGACACGGCCCAGACUCCUACGGGAGGCAGCAGUAGGGAAUCUUCCGCAAUGGACGAAAGUCUGACGGAGCAACGCCGCGUGAGUGAUGAAGGUUUUCGGAUCGUAAAGCUCUGUUGUUAGGGAAGAACAAGUACCGUUCGAAUAGGGCGGUACCUUGACGGUACCUAACCAGAAAGCCACGGCUAACUACGUGCCAGCAGCCGCGGUAAUACGUAGGUGGCAAGCGUUGUCCGGAAUUAUUGGGCGUAAAGGGCUCGCAGGCGGUUUCUUAAGUCUGAUGUGAAAGCCCCCGGCUCAACCGGGGAGGGUCAUUGGAAACUGGGGAACUUGAGUGCAGAAGAGGAGAGUGGAAUUCCACGUGUAGCGGUGAAAUGCGUAGAGAUGUGGAGGAACACCAGUGGCGAAGGCGACUCUCUGGUCUGUAACUGACGCUGAGGAGCGAAAGCGUGGGGAGCGAACAGGAUUAGAUACCCUGGUAGUCCACGCCGUAAACGAUGAGUGCUAAGUGUUAGGGGGUUUCCGCCCCUUAGUGCUGCAGCUAACGCAUUAAGCACUCCGCCUGGGGAGUACGGUCGCAAGACUGAAACUCAAAGGAAUUGACGGGGGCCCGCACAAGCGGUGGAGCAUGUGGGUUUAAUUCGAAGCAACGCGAAGA
rnacentral:rRNA from 1 species